UACGUAGGUGGCAAGCGUUUGUCCGGAAUUACUGGGCGUAAAGAGUGUGUAGGCGGUGCUCCAAGUCUGGUGUGAAAUCUCCCGGCUUAACUGGGAGGGUGCAUUAGAAACUGGAAUGCUAGAGGAUGGGAGAGGUAAGCGGAAUUCCUGGUGUAGCGGUGAAAUGCGUAGAUAUCAGGAGGAACACCUGUGGUGUAGACAGCUUACUGGACCAUUUCUGACGCUGAGACACGAAAGCGUGGGUAGCAAACAGG
rnacentral:rRNA from 1 species